ACUUAGUGAUGGAAACAACAUCUUUAGAUUUAGAAAUUGAUUCUUGUUUGUUUCCUUAGUUAACAUGCAUAGCAAACUUUGACCUUUAAGUAGAUAAUCUAAGCAAGCCUAUGGCAAGGUCUUUUGAGAUUAAGUACAUACUAGCAUGAGUUGAUUCUAUGUGCCAAGAAUGGUUUCUUUAAUCUUGGUAUUCAUAGUGCAUAUAUUCAAAAGCAUACCAAGUACACAUUAUCAUAUUGAUGAUCAAUAAAAAUAAUGCCAUGGAUAAAAAUUCUUAAUCAAGCAUAUAGAGGAUUCAUAGAGUUAUUUUUAAUGAAUUAAUUAAUCAUUUAGCAACUUAUCCAAUAGUGAGUGGAGCAUACAAAAAAAUGAAGUGAUUUGAAUAUAUUUUCUUUUCAUACCCAAAAAAAUAUCACUUAUAUCACAAAAAUGAUUAAUACUUUCAAGUUAUGUUUUAAUCAACUAAUAAAGUAAUUUCAAUACGAGAAGAUGUAAGAAUUACUUAUUUCAUUCUUUCUUUCAUUUAAAUCAUUCUUUUUAAUUACAUUUUAAAUUCAAUUCUUUAACACAUGUCUAGAGCACCUAUUGUUUAGAUAACAUCUUUCAUUAGAACCUUGGAUAGCUAGACAUGCUUGCUGAAAGAAUAAUCAUAUUUUCAACUUAGGAACCCAAGCUCUUUUGGAUCCUUG
rnacentral:lncRNA from 1 species